AUUGAACGCUGGCGGCAUGCCUUACACAUGCAAGUCGAACGGUAACAGGUCUUCGGAUGCUGACGAGUGGCGAACGGGUGAGUAAUACAUCGGAACGUGCCUAGUAGUGGGGGAUAACUACUCGAAAGAGUGGCUAAUACCGCAUGAGAUCUACGGAUGAAAGGAGGGGAUCGCAAGACCUUGUGCUACUAUAGCGGCCGAUGGCAGAUUAGGUAGUUGGUGGGAUAAAAGCUUACCAAGCCGACGAUCUGUAGCUGGUCUGAGAGGACGAUCAGCCACACUGGGACUGAGACACGGCCCAGACUCCUACGGGAGGCAGCAGUGGGGAAUUUUGGACAAUGGGCGCAAGCCUGAUCCAGCAAUGCCGCGUGCAGGAUGAAGGCCUUCGGGUUGUAAACUGCUUUUGUACGGAACGAAAAGCCCCGGGUUAAUACCCUGGGGUCAUGACGGUACCGUAAGAAUAAGCACCGGCUAACUACGUGCCAGCCGCCGCAGUAA
rnacentral:rRNA from 1 species